GAAACGACGAAUAAUACCCUAUGAUGUUUCUAUCUCGCAUGAGAUAUUAACCAAAGUGUUAGCGGUGUAAGAUGGACUUGCGUCUGAUUAGCUAGUUGGUGAGAAAAAGACCCACCAAGGCAACGAUCAGUAGCCGGCUUGAGAGAGUGUACGGCCACAUUGGGACUGAGACGCGGCCCAG
rnacentral:rRNA from 1 species